CCUCUCUAAAUCCAACAAUACUGCCCACCCAUUCAACUAAUUAAGCAGUCACCCUUAUACAGAGCAUCAUAUUACUGUCAAAUUUCUCAAGAUAGUCUAGUAGUCUAACUCUGUGCCAUCUUUGACAUUUUUGAAAAUCAAGUGUUCUUGUCAAACAAACAAUAUUAAGGAAAUGUCCUGCAUUAGGGCUUUUUUGGGGCCCCUGGUUGAAAAUUGGGGCCGUUGUUGCAUGGGUUGGCAGUGUGGGUGGAUGGCCUCAAAGAGUAUAUGUUUACAGCCAAUGGCAUGCCGACCCACUCUCCCUCUCGCCUACCCUUUGAGAGAGGACACUGAUUGGGAAGAUCCUGACAGAUCACUGCAUUUUGCCCCAAAUUGAAUCCUAUGAUUGUCAAAGCUUUGUGGCCCCAGCCCCUUCUGUGCAUGGAUACAGUUGACCUAAUCCAUCUAAAAUACCUUCUCUUUGGUCAGAACACACAUGAUCUUGGUUACAUUGUGGUUGUUUCCACAAAGCUUUGAGGAGAACUGAACUGUCGGAACUAUCCAGGAUUGCUUCCUUUAAUUGCCUUUCUCUCCUUGUGUCAUCAGAGUGAAUAACUGUCUUCUCUUGUCUUCUCGUCUUCAGCUCUAAUACAGCAGGCACCCAAAUACCAAAGACAGAUGUGCCACCUCCAACAGUAUAGACGAAGUGUACAUGGAGGCGAGGGAGAGUCAUCAUGGGAGGUGCCGCUGAGAGGCCAACACACACACUCACUUGUUUAUGGCUGACACACACCAGCGCCCAUUGGAACAUCAAGUAAUGGUGCACACCCAGCCCAAGCUGACCAGAAGAAUGACGGAAUUGUCAUUCUUGAUUUAAAUUAAAUGUAUAUCAAGCCAAGAUGAAGAUUUGACUCUUAACCGUCUUUGUUACUUGUGUAUUAGGUGCUAUCAAUCUACCUUGCCCAGCAAAAAAACAUACCUGGCCCAAGAUCAGCUUUCAGGUGUGCUGUAAAUGUAUAUCAUGAUGUGGGUAGUGUUGAAACAGAACUGAAUGCUGUGCUCUCUCUAUUCCUUGCUUUUGACUUCAUGCACACCCAAGACAGUUGAUUGCAUGUCUCGUUUUAGUGUAUAGUACUCUCAAUGCACUUUAGAAAUCUACAACUUUAUUAUCCAGUUGUGUGAGAGAGGUCUUUUACGUUUAGGAUUUCACAUUGGACCUGUAUUAACAACCUCAAGCAUGAAUUAAGAUAUCAACCCAACCCCAUUAUCCCACUCUAUUUUACUGACGGUUGGCUCAGGAUCUAUCUGCUGUCAUUUUUGAUGGCAUUAAGUGGAUUGUCGUGGGUGGUUGUGUUCUAGGUAGCAAUGAGAAGAAUGUCAACCCCAUGUCUAAUGUUAAUUUUACAGCAAUUUGAAACAGAAGCAGGAAUGAAGUCUCCUGUCAUUCUCUGGGUCUGUAUGAGGGUGCCACCAGUAUAUUAUUGUAUGUCAAUGGUCUUUUUCUUUCUCCUAAUGCAUUUUAAGUUACAUUGCACGAGUAGAAUCAUUCAAAGCACUAAAAAGGUAUUACCUUGGGUUGAAGGAACGGGCAUUUUAAAAGUGUAUGAGUUUAAGCUUAAUGAAAAGGUCAAUACAUUAAGAUAAGAAGUCACAGUAACUACCUGCAAAUAAACGGUCUGUAUUAUCAUUAUUUAGAGCUGUUUCUAACUUGCUGCAAGUACAAUGUCUGUUAUCUUCAGCUCUUUUUAUUUACCGGUAUGCAGCACUAGUAAUGCCUGAUACUGAGCCAAUGGCGUAACAGUUAACCAAAAGCAAAUGAGUGAUUCUCACCAGAGCUAACCAAUAAGACAGCUGCUGAAAUAAAAAUCACCCUGUAUACAAUGGUC